AGUUAGCUGCGUACUAUAGGUAGUAACCUGGUCGUAAGAAGAAUUGCCCUAAGUUCUGCUACUCCAAACUGUGGAACAGAGAGUUCCUCCUAGAAGCUCCAUUUAAGGAGGGUACCCAGACGAGCCUUUUCUUCAUUUCCCACUUGGCUGCACUGCUAUGGACUUCACCAUAUUGCCCCCUAUGCAGGCAAAGAAUAUGAAGCAUAGAGAGACUUCGUUGUUUGAGACAGGACUGGAACUGAGGUCCUCCUGAUUCCAAAUCCAGUAGUAACCUCUACGCUGCCUCAUUUCCCCUCUAAGUUCCCAGAAAUGUAUAAACAUUUGCAAUACCAUAUGAAUAACAACUGCGAAUGACUCAGCAAUUCUCAGUAAUACAAUGAUUCAAGACAA